AAGAACAAAACUGAGCUACCAAGACUGCAAACACAAGGUGAGAGGGAGAGAGAGGGGUUGGCUGGCAUAAACGGAAAGGCAUAUUGACUAACAGACAGCACAGGACACAUGCAUUGUUCAUCUUGUAACUUUGGAGACAAAAAUGAAGUGACCGAAGUUCUCUAAGUCUCAGGAAGAGAUGGAAAAAGAUCCCAGAGAAAUUAAAUGAGUGAGAAGAGGGAAAACUACAGACAUGGGUAUGGAAGAGACCAUUCUCAGCCUUCAAAUUGGAAAAAGCGCUCUUAAUUUCCUUCCUUUCUUGUGUGGACCUAAGGUUCAGAACCAAACAGUGAUCUCUUCUCUGCUCAUCGUGAUAGUCACAGACACUCUCAUCACAGGAGACUGCUAGUUCAUGGGGGCCAUAUAAAUAACAAUGUGUUCACGCCUGGAGAGUUAUUUAAGAGUUAGCACAAUACAGCACUAAAAUGCAAAUCAGAAAUGAGGUAAUUAAAGCUCCAAAUAACAAUGGCCGGGUCAAGAGAAUAUAAAAUGUAAUCACUUCCGGUUUCGCGUUACGAUGAUGAAAUCCACUUCCGGUACUACGGAAAAAACAAUUACAAAACAAGAAGGAAUUAUAUCUGCAGCAAGCUGAAUUGACCGUUUGGGUCACUACUUAGGAGAUACAUUGCACCUAAACACUGGGAGAAAACCACUGCACUUAACACUGGGAGAAAACCACUACACACUUAUAUCUCAAUCUGACAUUACAUAUGGCUGUGUGAUUGUUCACACUUAUCCAGGACCAUUUUUUUAUAUAUUUUUUCUUUUUUCUAUUUUCCUUUUCACUCGCAAGUUUUUAUUUUUCACGAUGGAUUGCUAUUGAUUUAUUUGAACAUUGUAUUUGCACAAUUUUGAAGAGUGCUGAUUUACUGCUUAUUGUCCGUUGAGGAAGACUGCUAUAAUUUAUACCAAAUUAAGUUUUUUCUGUUCACACUGUUCUUUGCAUAUCGUUUUAAAAUGCUGCUUUUUCACCAUUUUUUCUAUAAGUUUUUGUGACACACAUGAGUUUUUGCCAUUUGUUGAAACAAAGUAUAUUCUUUGACUUUUGUUGACACUUAAGUUUAUUCUUUGACACACAAGUUUAUUAAACCUGACAUAAGCCCAUUUAAACUGCAUCAGCUACAUUUAAACUGCAUCAUCUGCAUUUCAUUUUAUUCUUGUUGUUAACCAUUUGAUGUGAAAACACAUUUAUCAUCCAGUAAAUAGAUUCGUCUAACACAAAUAUAUAAGUACUAGGACCAUCGCCUCUCACCGACCAUAGGUCCAAAAUUAUAUAUAUUUUUAUAUCAAUUAUAUAUUUUUAUAUAUAUUUAUAUUUCUUUUAUUUUAUCUACCAUAAAGCUAGACAUCCUACAUAAUUGUUUGAGUUCUGUCACAUGCAACGACUGUCGAAUCUAAAGAAAUUGGUUUUAACUUAUUGUAAAAUCUUGGAUCCUUGAUUACAUUUUUACUGUUUUAUGUGUAAAUUUUAUAUAAAAUGUUGUUUUGAAUAAAUUGACACAAAUUUUA